GUUCUUGUUGGAGAGUUUGAUCCUGGCUCAGGACGAACGCUGGCGGCGUGCUUAACACAUGCAAGUCGAACGGACUGCUCAGCUUGCUGAGUGGUCAGUGGCGAACGGGUGAGUAACACGUGAGCAACCUGCCCCUGACUCUGGGAUAACUCCGGGAAACCGGGGCUAAUACCGGAUACGACAUCGCCUCGCAUGGGGUGGUGUGGAAAGGGUCUACUGGUUGGGGAUGGGCUCGCGGCCUAUCAGCUUGUUGGUGGGGUGAUGGCUCACCAAGGCGACGACGGGUAGCCGGCCUGAGAGGGUGACCGGCCACACUGGGACUGAGACACGGCCCAGACUCCUACGGGAGGCAGCAGUGGGGAAUAUUGCGCAAUGGGCGGAAGCCUGACGCAGCG
rnacentral:rRNA from 1 species